rnacentral:rRNA from 1 species
AUUGAACGCUGGCGGCAGGCCUAACACAUGCAAGUCGAGCGAGCGGCGGACGGGUGAGUAAUGUAUGGGGACUGCCCGAUAGAGGGGGAUAACUACUGGAAACGGUAGCUAAUACCGCAUACUAUCGGAUAACCCAUAUGGGGUUAGCUAGUAGGUGAGGUAAUGGCUCACCUAGGCGACGAUCCCUAGCGGGUCUGCGAGGAUGAUCAGGCAGGCUGGGACUGAGGCACGGCCCAGAGUCCGACGGAGGCAGCAGUGGGGAAUAUGGCACAAUGGGCGCAAGGCUGAUGCAGCCAUGCCGCGUGUAUGAAGAAGGCCCUAGGGUUGUAAAGGACUUUCAGUCGGGAGGCGUUACCGACAGAAGAAGCACCGGCUAACUCCGUGCCAGCCGCCGCGGUAAUAC